UUUUGAUCGUAUAUAAUAUUGCAGUUCUAGUAUAAAAGAAAGAAAAUGUUAUUUUUAAAUUGAAGUCACCUGAGGACGGUUACAACAAUGGGUUCUAGAUUUUUUAUUUUAAGCAUUUUGAUGGCAUUUUUCGUUGUCAUUGGAAGCUGCAGCUUGUUCAGUCCAUAUCCACUUUAUCCUGAUAACGAUGAACCUACGAUUAAUGUAAACCCGGUGAACAAUGCUGAAUCUGAGAGUAAUUCAUCACCAUUUACAUCGCAAACUGCCCACUUGCACGAUGGAGACGGAUAUACCGGCUGGUAGUAGAACUUAAUAGAAGCUUCAAAAUUGAUGUCUUCAAGCACAGAAUAAUUUUCAAGAAAUAAAAAAAGAAAUAAACGAUUUUCAUUAACA